UGCAAGGUUGAAUUUAAACCUACAGAAACAUGGCUGCAGAUGCUGAGAUGCGUCCAGGGAAAUGUUGCUUUCAGGUGGAGCUAAAUGAGAGUUCACAGGAAACGUCUCCUUCAUGAUAUACAGCCAGAAGACAAGGGAGAUUUUUCCCAGAGGGCAAAGCCAGGGUCAGAGAAAAGAAACCCCCAGUCUAAGCAGCAGGGCCUCAUUCCUGCUGUCUGCAGGAUGAAAUGUGGCCUGCCUCCUCCAUCCGUGACUUUACAGAGCAGACGGCAGUUUGCCUUUCUUCCUCCCCCACCGCACAGCGCACGUGUUCAGAGCAGACAUCUUAGCUUUUCAACAAGUGCUCAUAAGGACAUGUGGACUGGAGACCUGGCCUUUGAUCUCCACUAGGAGCUAGAUGACAGUUCCGACCUGUUUCUGUAGAAGAAAGGAUCAGUGUCCCGUGUGAACUGAGAGAGGGAGAAUGGAAGAGCUUCGGAUCAAAGU
rnacentral:lncRNA from 1 species